rnacentral:lncRNA from 1 species
AUAUUAGUUGAGACAUAGAAGAAAUCACCAAGGAAUUUAGAAAAGCUGUGAACUGGAUAAGAAAAGAACACAAUCUAUCCAAACUUGUAGGAUGCAAUGAAUGUUUUUAGGGUUUUCUGUAAUGUUAGAUGCUCUUAGGAGAAAACAGACAUAUAAAAAUCAAUGAUUUCAGACUGCAGUUCUCAAAGUGUGGUCUGGAGAAACCUGAGGACCCUUGAGAUACCUUCAGAGAGAGUCAAUAAGGCUAAAACACUUUACAUUGAGAAAACAAAGAUUUAUUGGCCCUUUUCACUUUCAUAUUCUGGCAGUGGUACAGUGGAGUUUUCCAGUGGCUCCAUAAUAUGUAAUGGCAUCUUCUCUCUGAUGGCUAAGAAAAUGGGUGAUUAUCAGUUUUUUGUGUUAAAGAAUUUUCAGUUUUGGUUUCUUUCUUUCUUUUUCUUUUUUUUUUUUUUGAGACAGAGUCUCACUCUGUUGCCCAGGCUGGAGUGCAGUGGCAUGAUCUCAGCUCAAUGCAGCCUCCACCUCCCCAGUUCAAGCAAUUUUCCUGCCUCAGCCUCCGAGUAGCUGGGACUACAGGCACGUGCCACCAUGCCUGGCUAAUUUUCUGUAUUUUUAGUAGAGAUGGGGUUUCACCAUGUUAGCCAGGAUAGUCUCCAUCUCCUCUUUAUCCUUUCUGACUCACCUCGUGGUCCAGUUCAUUAAAGAGGAC